CUACGGGGUGCUGCAGCCGCGAAAACUUUACAAUGCACGAAAGUGUGAUAAGGGAAUCCAAAGUGCUCAUGUUUUUACAUGGGCUUUUGCCAAGAGUAAAUAUCUUGGAGAAUAAGUGAUGGGUAAGACUGGUGCCAGCAGCCGCGGUAACACCAGCGUCACGAGUGGGAAUCAUAUUUAUUUGGCCUAAAGCGUCCGUAGCCGGUUUGGUAAAUUCAUGGUGAAAUCAUUGUGCUCAACGCAAUGGCGUGCAGUGAACACUGCCAGACUUGAGACUGGGAGGAGUCAGAAGUAUUCUUGGGGGAGCGGUAAAAUGCUAUAAUCCCAAGAGGACUACCUGUGGCGAAGGCGUCUGACUAGUACAGUUCUGACGGUGAGGGACGAAAGCUAGGGGAGCGAUCCGGAUUAGAUACCCUUGUAGUC
rnacentral:rRNA from 1 species